UACGGAGGGUGCUAGCGUUGUUCGGAAUUACUGGGCGUAAAGGGCGCGUAGGCGGCCGUUUGCGUCGGAUGUGAAAGCCCGGGGCUCAACCUCGGAACGGCAUUCGAUACGGGACGGCUGGAGACCGGGAGAGGAGAGUGGAAUAGCCAGUGUAGAGGUGAAAUUCGUAGAUAUUGGCUGGAACACCGGUGGCGAAAGCGGCUCUCUGGCCCGGUUCUGACGCUGAGGAGCGAAAGCGUGGGGAGCGAACAGG
rnacentral:rRNA from 1 species